rnacentral:rRNA from 1 species
AAGUACGUAACGGACUCAUAAUUGAACCUAAGUGAUCUAUGAGUUAGUGGCGGACGGGUGAGUAACGCGUGGAGUAACCUGCCGUAUACCGGGGGAUAACACUUAGAAUAGGUGCUAUACCGCAUAGCGCACGGCUCCGCAUGGGGCGAGUGUGAAAAACUCCGGUGGUAUACGAUGGAUCCGCGUCUGAUUAGCUAGUUGCGGGGUAACGGCCCACCAAGGCAGCGAUCAGUAGCCGGCCUGAGAGGGUGGACGGCCACAUUGGGACUGAGACACGGCCCAAACUCCUACAGGAGGCAGCAGUGGGGAAUAUUGCACAAUGGGGGAAACCCUGAUGCAGCGACGCCGCGUGAGUGAAGAAGUAUCUCGGUACGUAAAGCUCUAUCAGCAGGGAAGAAAAUGACGGUACCUGACUAAGAAGCCCCGGCUAACUACGUG